UAGUCAUAUGCUUGUCUCAAAGAUUAAGCCAUGCAUGUCUAAGUAUAAGCAAUCUAUACGGUGAAACUGCGAAUGGCUCAUUAAAUCAGUUAUCGUUUAUUUGAUAGUACCUUACUACUUGGAUAACCGUGGUAAUUCUAGAGCUAAUACAUGCUAAAAACCCCGACUUCGGAAGGGGUGUAUUUAUUAGAUAAAAAACCAAUGCCCUUCGGGGCUCCUUGGUGAUUCAUAAUAACUUAACGAAUCGCAUGGCCUUGUGCCGGCGAUGGUUCAUUCAAAUUUCUGCCCUAUCAACUUUCGAUUGUAAGGUAGUGGCUUACAAUGGUUUCAACGGGUAACGGGGAAUUAGGGUUCUAUUCCGGAGAGGGAGCCUGAGAAACGGCUACCACAUCCAAGGAAGGCAGCAGGCGCGCAAAUUACCCAAUCCCGACACGGGGAGGUAGUGACAAUAAAUACUGAUACAGGGCUCUUUUGGGUCUUGUAAUUGGAAUGAGUACAAUUCAAAUCCCUUAACGAGGAACAAUU
rnacentral:rRNA from 1 species